CCUCGGACCACCUGCCCAGUCGAGCUGCCAUCACCUGCCAGGGUGAGCCACUGCGCCUGAUCAAGGCAUCACCGUUGAACCUCCUAAGAGGAAAACAUAAGGCUGUGCAAUACCAGGAACUGGGAUUCUAGGUUGCCCCAGACACCAAGGCAUCAAAAGCCAGGGGAUCCAGAGAAAACACAGACAGCCAAGAGAGAAACUGCGGGAAAAAGCCAAAAGGUUGAGAGCCACACCAUCUAGAAGCUUCCUGCCUGUGGUGCGGCACAGAAACAAGGAGAGUCAGCAAUUACCAGCCAGCCAAGGUCCUGGAAGCUGACGUAGAGCUCGUGCCGACGGCAGACCUGCCGGCCGUGGGAGCCGCGGACGUCAUCUGCAGGGACAGAAGGGGCAAGGUCUUUUCUGGGGUUCCUGCUGUGUGCAGCUACUAUGGGGUACCAGGGUGGGGGAUGCCCUGAUGAGCACAUUUGUCAAAUAAAUGAAUGACAGGAAACCA
rnacentral:lncRNA from 1 species